rnacentral:rRNA from 1 species
UACGUAGGGGGCGAGCGUUGUCCGGAUUUAUUGGGCGUAAAGAGCUCGUAGGCGGCUUGGCAAGUCGGGUGUGAAACCUCCAGGCUCAACCUGGAGACGCCACUCGAUACUGCUAUGGCUAGAGUCCGGUAGGGGACCACGGAAUUCCCGGUGUAGCGGUGAAAUGCGCAGAUAUCGGGAGGAACACCGGUGGCGAAGGCGGUUCUCUGGGCCUGUACUGACGCUGAGGAGCGAAAGCGUGGGGAGCGAACAGG